CCUACGGGGGGCAGCAGUGGGGAAUAUUGGGCAAUGGGCGCAAGCCUGACCCAGCAACGCCGCGUGAAGGAAGAAGGCUUUCGGGUUGUAAACUUCUUUUGACAGGGACGAAGCAAGUGACGGUACCUGACGAAUAAGCCACGGCUAACUACGUGCCAGCAGCCGCGGUAAUACGGAGGGGGCAAGCGUUAUCCGGAUUUACUGGGGGUAAAGGGCGUGUAGGCGGGACGGCAAGUCAGACGUGAAAACCAAGGGCUUAAACCGUGGCCAGCAUUUGAAACUGGAGUUCUUGAGUACUGGAGAGGCAGACGGAAUUCGUGGUGUAGCGGUGAAAUGCGUAGAUAUUAGGAAGAACACCAGUGGCGAAGGCAGUAUGCUGGAGCGCAACUGACGCUGAGGCGCGAAAGCGUGGGGAGCGAACAGGAUUAGAUACCCGUGUAGUC
rnacentral:rRNA from 1 species